AUUCUACAUUUUUUUGAAUGGGCAUGCUCCACUCUGAUCUGUAGCCUGGUUUCAUGGGGGAAUCCCAGGCUUUUGCCCUCCAUGAAUCUGCUCACAUGUCUCCCUCAGGAUAUGUGACCCGAUUCAGGGAACUAGGCGUAUGUGGCAAGUCACGACUUCACAGGAGAGCUGUUUAAACAUUUAUAAAAAUCAGUUUUUUGUCAGAAAUGCCUUCUCGAACAUGUAAACUUUCAUGUGCUUUUUUUAUCAAAGUUUUAUGCCAUCUGUAAAUAUGAAUAAAAUUGUUAAAUUAUGAGCCUAGUUGGUUUAACCACAGAAGGUCAGCAACCUUCCCGCUGGCCAUGAUUGGCUGAGAUAAUGAGUGGGCUGGACAUGCCGAGAGAUGAGUUUGGAUUGGUCUGCCAUAUAGCAUGCGUCUGUCUAUUGGAGCUGGUCAGUAUUUCUAGGUAAUCAUGUCAAAUGUGGCUUUUUUAUGUAUCGUGUAGUAAAAGUGCAUAAGCCUAAUGACAAGUUAAAGUGUACUAUUAGCUAGUUAACAUUAGCUGACUUGCUCGCUAGCUAAUGUUAUGCGUAUGCUCUCCACUUUCUGCAGGACCAAGUUUUGGAAUUUGAGUAUGAUAGCUAAGGAGAUGGAGAAAACACCAGUCUAAUUACGUUGUGCAUGGCAUCAGACAGGAGACCGUCCAACCAUGAUGUAUCCUGGUGUGUGAAGACUGAAAACAAAACUCCUUUUUCUCCUCAUUUGUAUCUUUGGGACUCUUUUGGAAUUACAGCUUUUUUUUGGAAGUGUUAAACUGACAUAAACUUCAUGUCAUGAUGAAGUACACAAAGGAUUUAUUGGAGUUUCUGGACCUGAGUCAUCUGUCCACAGAUGAGGAAUUGGCAAUCCGACAGGUGCUUCAGCGAGAUGACAACCUCAGGAAACGAGAGACUGGACGCAUACGUCGUCUGCAAAUCUCCAUUCCUGACCCUAAAAAGCUCAAAGUUAUGACUGGGGAGUGGUUUGAAGAGCUCCGGACUCGUCGCUAUGGACGACAGUCAGACGUGGCAGAAGUUCUCAGGUCUUCAAUGAGGAGAAAGAAGCCAACAGGUAUAGAUUUUGUACCGAUUACCAUGAAUUAAUCAGUUAAAUAAUUAUACUCUCAAUCAAUGAAAGAAUAAUAUUCUGACUUUAACUCCUUUGUCAGUCAUCUGUCACUCCUCAGAGAGAAGGAUAAAGACUAGUUAUAUUAUUCAUACAGAGGGAUGGUCUGACCGAAGAUAAAUAAUCUGAGUGAUCAUUGUCUGCUUCUUAGCCUUUAGGACUAGCACUUUCAGCGAUGUCGGACAAACAGAAAACAAAGAAGGAGAAAAGGAGAAUAAGGACCCUCAAACCAAGGCUUCUGAGAUGUAAGUUUAUUCUCAGAGUAGCCUACAAUAUCUAGAUUUCUGGUCACACAGGGAAUACAAACAUACACAUUGCAGAGGCUUAAGCAUUGAACAGUGAAUUGCUAUCUCCUAAUAGAAGAGAAAUGUGUUACAAGAGCAAACUUUUGGCAAUAAAUGCUUCAGAAGACUUCUGUGCUGGUAUUACAUAAUUAUGCUUCAUGGCUUGGUUUUUCUAUGCCACAGAAUAACUUUUACUGUUACUGCAAGGUAUUAUCAAAUCAAAUUAUAUUUGUCACAUGCGCCGAAUACAACAGGGAAAUCCUUACUUACAAGCCCUUAACCAACAGCAGUUUUAAGAAAAUAGAGUUAAGAAAAUAUUUAUGAAAUAAACUAAAGUAAAAAGUUAUAAAAUAACAAUAAUGAGGCUAUAUACAGGGGGUACAGGUACCAAGUAAAUGUGCGGGGGUACAGGCUAGUCGAGGUAAUUUGUACAUGUAGGUAGGGUUAAAGGGACUGUGCAUUGAUAAUAGCGAGUAGCAGCAUUGUAAAAACAAGAGGGGGGGUCAACGUAAAUAGCUCAGAUGGCCAUUAGAUUUAUUUUACUCAAUAAUUUGUUUUAGCUUAGAAAGCAAGGAAUUACUGUAUUGGUGCACGCAAUUCUAUUACUGUAUCUAUGCAUACAACUCACUAAAUAAAUCACUUGGCUUUUCAACAAUUGCAUGAAGCUUUGAAAAUUGAUAUUGAAGAAAUACCUAUUUGUCAUUCAAACAUUUAUUUUUUUAAAGAGUUCUACACCUUUCAUUCUUGUACUGACAUUUGAAGUACUGCAUAUGCACAUUAAGUACUUAUAUUCUUAAUGUUUGAGUACAACUCCUUACAAUCUCUCUUUUCCACUCAUAGCCAGACACCAGACACAAGUUUCCUCAACCUAUCUUUUCGUGAAAAGGUAUUUUUUUAUUGCAUUAUUAUUUGAGACAAAACUUUCUUUCACUUUAAUCAAAGAGUUGAUACAUAAUAACACAAUUGUGAUCCUCAGGCUAACCAGGAACUUAGCAAUGAGGAAAGCACUGUGGAUACUGGUGAGUAUGAAAUAUUUAGCAGCUGUGGAAGGAUCCACCGAACCCUAUCCCGACAGGCCAACCGUAAACUAAACUUGAACUUUUCAUUUAUUACAGACAACACCACUGUUGAUGUUCCUGAAUGGAAACAUCCACUCUACAGGUCUCAUGAGGGGCCUGCUAGUGAGGAAAAAUGUACCAACCCAU
ensembl:lncRNA